UGCUUCCUGAGCCACCAGCGGGGGCAUAGACGUUGGGUCAUCACCAGACACAACAGCAAAGCUGCUGGUGUUGCUUUCUUCUCCGUCGUGUGAGUCACUGGUCUGGUUGUUCAUAUUUCGGUGGACAGAUUUUGUCACCGUCAUCGCUCUGCAACCGUACAAUAUGCAUGCAUGGAACAGACACGCAAAGGCCCGGCAGCAGCAGAGCUGGGGCGAAAGAUGAAGAUACGGCUGCCACAGACCGGAACAGGGGGUGCCCGCAGAUCUGUGACUCACGGCCACACCGUUGGUCUCAUGAGGGGAGUAAUCCAGCCGUCACACUCCGCGUGAAGAAGGCCGCAUUCUUCCCGCCGGCCAGUGACAUCACAGAUUUUUUUUAAAGCUGCUGAUUCCUGGACCGCCAUCUCUUCGCACACAAAGAAACAAACAGUGUACACACACGCACACACACAGACACGUUGUUAUUCUCACUACCACAAACAUCCCCGACAUAAUGCAUGCUUGUUGACUGUGUGUCCCUCAUAAAACUAAAAUAAGAGACUCGUUGAUUGAAUACAACAUUGAUGAAUGUAACCGUUGCCAUGGGGACUGAACAAAACAAAGCAGCCUUGUUUGGAAGGUAUCAACAAAAAUACUUCAGCAAGAUUAAGUGUUUUAAAAAAGCAACUUGAGGCAGUGCACAAAGCAAUGGUGAUGAUGUCCCCUUAUUAUUCGAUCUGGCCAUCCUCAAUCCUUUUCUAUCUCAUAGUAAAUGGUUGCAUAGGAACAGCAGAGAAAAGCGUGAAUUGAAUAGGUCAUGUGAUCAGACAAACAAUAAGACCACUCAUUGUUUCUGAAUGCAAUCUGAGAGCACCGGUUUGCUUGCACCUUUCUCAAGGUCUCUGGAGGAGAUGGAGGAUUCUAGCAGGAGUCAAUGGGCCUGAGGAGGAGGAAGAACAUCAUCCUGGACAGUUAGUACGAGGACAACGCCUGGGUUCACGUCACGAGGAGCGCGCUGAUACACUACACGGUGCUCCUCAUCCUUCAGGAGAUGAGGGCUGUGAACUGUGAAGUAAUGGGAUUCAAGUGAGCGUCAGAUACACGCUCACUCUCACACACAGCGACCCGCUGACGGCUAGUGUGAGGGUACUGGGAGGAUGUCCUACAUGCACCUGAAACAUAAGAGUCUCUCCACAAAAAUGUGUAGCAAUGCAAACAAAAAAUAGUAAGGAAUCCACAAAUAAAAAUAGUUUUUUAAACUUAUUUCAGCUAACUUGUGGACAUUACUGGGGUAACGUAUCACGUGCUAAAGACAAGCGUCUCGACUUGUGUCAAGAGGCACUUACAGAUGUAAUGGGGGGUUGGGCGAGUGCAGCCAUUUAAAAAAAAAACAUUUUAGGCUCUGAUAAUAAAUUAAACGGAAAUAAUAUACGUUACUUAUUCUUUCUGUGCUCCCUAGAUUAUGAGGUGAGAGUAUUAGCUCACAAGGUCACGCCCAUGCAACAACUUUUUCAUCAGGGUAUUUCUAUCAAUCAGAUGUCUCCAUUUUCAGCCAACAGGUUACAGGCUCAAUGGUUUGAAUGCAACCGUAACAGCAUCCAAAAACAUUUUUGAUAAAACAUUCUUAUUUGUGUGUGUGACUCAAAAAUAAAUUUGUGAAUCCUUCUGUUCUUUGACGACAUAAUUAUCCACGCACACUCACG
ensembl:lncRNA